UAAUAUGAUGUACAAACAGUACCCGAGAAUAAAACAACCAUUGUUCAUUCAGAAAUAUCAACACGAGUAAUUAUUUUCCAGAAAUUGAAAACACCACAAACUUCAUCAAGUUCAUGACCCGAAGCCAAAUAGGAAUAUAUGUCACUCUGAUUGCUUGCAAAUAUAUAGCUUGCUAUUACUAGCAUACCCCCAAAAAAGUCGCGCUUGUCCGUAUCAUAAAGUUUGUCGUUAUCGUGAGGACAAGUUAGUGCAAAGAAAUGUGCACCGUGUCGCGUAAGUGCAGUUGCAGUGUCGAUCUCAGCUGUUUCUAACAGUUGGUGGUCAUCGGACAGCGAGCGACCACAUGACUACCUAAACAAACACUGACUGUGGUAUUUGUAAAUGAAUACUGGUUGUUUCUAUUCUCGUGGAAGUUUAAAAAUAACAAGCAAACUCAACUGAAAAGGUCAAUUUCGUUCUCGCUUGUGCAAUUUUACGGUCAAAAAGAUCAACUAAACUGAACAAUUCAGAACGAGGCUUCCAAAACUCAAAGCAUUCCGUGUACAUGAUAAAAUAAUACCAUGCAGACUCCUACUGAUCAGUGUACGGAGCUUUUCCCUGUUGUCGGCAACAUCGCGAGUUCAGUUUUCGAUCACAAAUCAGUGGCCGUGGGAUUGCGUUUGUUGUUAUUUGAAAGGGAUUGAUAAUGGCAUAAUCGCUUUUUUAUUUGUGCAUACCGCGGGGGAGUAAUGGUUAGAACGAAGGGAACGUAUUGGAUUAGAUUGGGUGGAGUUUACAGUAUUGUGGAAGCAUAUUUGUUUACAUCACAUCACAGCCAGAAAGUUACCAAGGCACACAGAGAGACCGUGGAUACAGUUGAAGAUCAUCCCUGUGAUAAGUUCUUCUGACAUCUGAGGAUUGAAAAGGCUCCUCAACCACUCAGCCCAAGUUCUGAUUUGUCAUGUAACAAAUAAAUAAAGGUCACCGAAACCAGAAUUCUAUUGUCAUUUUGUUGCUGUUAUCAUAUUUUUUAAUAGAUCAAGUAUAUUGAUCAUAGGACAUCCGAUGCAUGGACGAUUUUGCUUGUCUCAGUGUUGCCCUAAUGCUGAAUGUAUGGGGUAAGGCCAAGAAAAAUUAAACGUUUCAAUUUGUGGCAGGCUUAUUGUCUGAUGGUUUUUAAUUUGCAAACUUGUGUGAAAAUCAUUUAU